rnacentral:rRNA from 1 species
CCCUUAGAUGUUCUGGGCUGCACGCGCGCUACACUGAAGCUAUCAACACGUUUUCCCUCCCUGAGAAGGGCGGGUAACCUUUUGAAUCAGCUUCGUGGUAGGGAUCGGGGCUUGCAAUUGUUCCCCGUGAACCAGGAAUUCCUAGUAGACGCGAGUCAUAAGCUCGCAUCGAUUAAGUACCUGCCCUUUGUACACACCGCCCGUCGCUACUACCGAUUGAACGUUUUAGUGAGGCAUUUGGACCGACGCAUCUCAGUUUAACCGCUGGUUUGUGUUGGAAAGACUUCCAAACUUGAGCGUUUAGAGGAAGUAAAAGUCGUAACA